UAGUCUACGCCGUAAACGAUGGAUACUAGUUGUUUGAUCUUCGGAUUGAGUGACUAAGCGAAAGUGAUAAGUAUCCCACCUGGGGAGUACGUUCGCAAGAAUGAAACUCAAAGGAAUUGACGGGGGCCCGCACAAGCGGUGGAGCAUGUGGUUUAAUUCGAUGAUACGCGAGGAACCUUACCAGGGCUUAAAUGUAGUCUGACAGCUUUAGAGAUAGAGUUUUCUUCGGACAGAUUACAAGGUGCUGCAUGGUUGUCGUCAGCUCGUGCCGUGAGGUGUCAGGUUAGGUCCUAUAACGAGCGCAACCCCUGUUGUUAGUUGCCAUCGAGUAAUGUCGGGAACUCUAACAAGACUGCCGGUGCAAACCGUGAGGAAGGUGGGGAUGACGUCAAAUCAUCACGGCCCUUACGUCCUGGGCUACACACGUGCUACAAUGGCAAGGACAGUGAGCAGCGAACCCGCGAGGGUGAGCGAAUCUAUAAACCUUGUCUCAGUUCGGAUCGGAGU
rnacentral:rRNA from 1 species